rnacentral:rRNA from 1 species
AUACGUAGGGAGCGAGCGUUGUCCGGAAUUACUGGGCGUAAAGGGUGCGUAGGCGGCUAGGCAAGUCAGAUGUGAAAUCCCCGGGCUUAACUCGGGUGGUGCAUUUGAAACUGCUUGGCUUGAGUGCAGGAGAGGAAAGCGGAAUUCCUAGUGUAGCGGUGAAAUGCGUAGAUAUUAGGAGGAACACCAGUGGCGAAGGCGGCUUUCUGGACUGUAACUGACGCUGAGGCACGAAAGCGUGGGGAGCAAACAGGAUUAGAUACCCUGGUAGUCCACGCUGUAAACGAUGGAUACUAGGUGUGGGGGAGAUACAACCUCCGUGCCGCAGCAAACGCAAUAAGUAUCCCGCCUGGGGAGUACGGUCGCAAGGCUGAA